AUACCCGCUGUUCCGCUAAACCCAAUGGUUCGCAGGAAUAUCUCUGCAAAUAUGACACACAAUACGAACUGCUGGUGAGAUAUGAAAAUAUGACUGACGUUCCGGUGAACUGCAGUGAACGUUUUAAGAAACUAGUUGGAUCAAGAGAACUUAAUGAAAACAAAAAUCUAGCAGGUUGUGUGUGUAACUGCAGCCAGCGCAACGAUUUUAACUAAAAAUGCCGUAUCUCGUACAAUAUUGCAGAAAUGAGUUGUUUUAGGACAAUAAACCACGGCACACAACA